CAAAAGCUUAAGAGGCUGAUUGCUAAAAGCAGGGAGAAAGGCUGUUUAUAGUUAAGGAGACACAUAGGAAAAAUGACCAGAAACACUAGUAGUACCAUAGCAAAACAAAAAGACUCAGUCGUGAAUGGCAAAAACGUAUUUUCAGUGUCAAAGCACGAGCUCAGCAAGCACGAAGCAUGAGGCUUCUUCUUCAGUACCGAAACAAUGCUUUACUUUAAGCUGUUGGAAUGCUGGAACUUACCAGCUAAAGUCAAGAAUAAGACAAGGACAUCACAGCUGCUCCCACUGUUUACCAUUGUGUUGUGGGCCUCAGCCAAGAGGAAGCACAGAGAUAGAGCCUGGAACUUGGAAAAGAGAGAGAAAAUCCUCCCUAUGUUUAGAUGCUGCAAAAAAACACCUCAAAAGUCCCAAAGAUUUAUUGUUAAAAUGAUGAGUGAAGAAGAAUAUAAAGUCCAU
rnacentral:lncRNA from 1 species